rnacentral:piRNA from 1 species
UGUAAAGGUUAGAUAGCCAUACAGAGUUGA